rnacentral:rRNA from 1 species
GACGAACGCUGGCGGCGUGCUUAACACAUGCAAGUCGAACGCUGAAGCUUGGUGCUUGCACUGGGUGGAUGAGUGGCGAACGGGUGAGUAAUACGUGAGUAACCUGCCCUUGACUCUGGGAUAAGCCGGGGAAACUGGGUCUAAUACUGGAUACGACAUGCCACUGCAGGGUGGUGUGUGGAAAGGGUUUUACUGGUUUUGGAUGGGCUCACGGCCUAUCAGCUUGUUGGUGGGGUAAUGGCCUACCAAGGCGACGACGGGUAGCCGGCCUGAGAGGGUGACCGGCCACACUGGGACUGAGACACGGCCCAGACUCCUACGGGAGGCAGCAGUGGGGAAUAUUGCACAAUGGGCGGAAGCCUGCUGCGGCGACGCCGCGUGAGGGAUGACGGCCUUCGGGUUGUAAACCUCUUUCAGCACGAAAGAAGCGAGAGUGACGGUACGUGCAGAAGAAGCGCCGGCUAACUACGU